rnacentral:lncRNA from 1 species
AGUUGUGAGUAGGUGUUAGUCACGAACAUAGUUCAUAAAUAUAAGUUCAAAACAGUGUAUAAAAAUGUAAUCACAAAAAUACUGAACUCGGAGGAAAACUCAUAACGGAAAGUCCUUCAUCAAAUGGCAAAAUCAAAAGCUCAAACACAUCAAACAAAUGGAUGAUAACUGUCAUAUUCCUGACUUGAUACAAGCAUUUUCUUGUGUAGAAAAUGGGGAAUUAAACUUGGUUAAGUAGCCAGGGGCGGAUGCAGGAAUUUUCGAAAGGGGGGGUGCUAACCCAGGGCAAAGGGGGGGGGGUGCAAAACAUAUGUCCCGAUACAAAUGCAUUGAUCGGCAAAAAUAAAGGGGGGGUGCGCAUCCCCGGAACCCCCCCCCUGGAUCCGCCACUGGUAGCUAACUCAACCUCUCACUUGUAUGACAGUCGCAUAAACUUCCAUAAUAUUGACAACGAUGUUUGAACAAAAAAAAAAAACAGACAUAGUAGGUACAAAUGUCAAAAAGAAUUGUACAGCAGUCAUUAUUGAGUUAUAAACCCACUAUUUAUUAUAAAAUAGAAUAAAUAGUUAAAUAGUUGUUUUGAUAUCAUAUUGAAACAGCUUCUUUUUGUUUCGAAAUGAAGGAAUCAUCGAAUAUCAUUAGUGGAAUUCAAUAAAAAAAAAAAAGAUAAUGCUGUAAAUGAGGAAUAGAGUUUAGAAAAAAGGUGACAUUAACAAUCAAAUCGAAGUCGGAUGAAAUAUAUAUGAACAGACAGUUGACAGAAACAAAACAUCACCCUGAAACUACGACUUAAACAACAGUUAUCAAACAUUUAAAAUCGGGUGCUCUGUCAGAGUUAUGUGUUCCAGUUCUAAUCUAUAUAAUGUGUGAUGUCAUGAAUAUAAUAUAAUUGUACCAUUAUGAUCUUGGUUUAAUAUAUUAUAUCUUAUAUAUAUGAAAAGAAUUACUUCCGGUAGCAUAAAUAAUUGCCUAUACGUGUAUAUACUGC